UCUUUCUGCCUGCUCUUGAAAAGAAAUAUUGUUCUUCCCUACCUCAUUCAUAAAUAGCAAUUCUAAUUUGAGGGCAGAAGCCUUUAGGAACCUGUUCAGGUUCCAUGGGCACAUGUGUAUUUACACAUAACUCCUCUUUAUUUAAAUAGUGCUAUCUGAAAGAGAUGACUCCUGGACUGUGCCACAUCUAGCAAAGAACAAUGAAAUCAGAACCAAGGCCAUCAACAGUAACGAAUAACAACUACAAAUGAAGAUGGAAAACCAGGAAGCUACAUCACAAAGGAAGGAAAAAAGGAAGGAAAAUUUUGCUGGACUCAUUUGCUGAAAUGGUCACCAUGCUGUACCCAAUUAUAUACAGGACUGAAUUUCACACAGUAUUAUGACUCCAAAUCUUUUGAACAACAGCAGGUGAAG